AGCAAUUGCGCUGCUAUAAUGCAAGUCGAGCGGACAGAUGGGAGCUUGCUCCCUGAUGUUAGCGGCGGACGGGUGAGUAACACGUGGGUAACCUGCCUGUAAGACUGGGAUAACUCCGGGAAACCGGGGCUAAUACCGGAUGGUUGUUUGAACCGCAUGGUUCAGACAUAAAAGGUGGCUUCGGCUACCACUUACAGAUGGACCCGCGGCGCAUUAGCUAGUUGGUGAGGUAACGGCUCACCAAGGCGACGAUGCGUAGCCGACCUGAGAGGGUGAUCGGCCACACUGGGACUGAGACACGGCCCAGACUCCUACGGGAGGCAGCAGUAGGGAAUCUUCCGCAAUGGACGAAAGUCUGACGGAGCAACGCCGCGUGAGUGAUGAAGGUUUUCGGAUCGUAAAGCUCUGUUGUUAGGGAAGAACAAGUGCCGUUCAAAUAGGGCGGCACCUUGACGGUACCUAACCAGAAAGCCACGGCUAACUACGUGCCAGCAGCCGCGGUAAUACGUAGGUGGCAAGCGUUGUCCGGAAUUAUUGGGCGUAAAGGGCUCGCAGGCGGUUUCUUAAGUCUGAUGUGAAAGCCCCCGGCUCAACCGGGGAGGGUCAUUGGAAACUGGGGAACUUGAGUGCAGAAGAGGAGAGUGGAAUUCCACGUGUAGCGGUGAAAUGCGUAGAGAUGUGGAGGAACACCAGUGGCGAAGGCGACUCUCUGGUCUGUAACUGACGCUGAGGAGCGAAAGCGUGGGGAGCGAACAGGAUUAGAUACCCUGGUAGUCCACGCCGUAAACGAUGAGUGCUAAGUGUUAGGGGGUUUCCGCCCCUUAGUGCUGCAGCUAACGCAUUAAGCACUCCGCCUGGGGAGUACGUCGCAAGACUGAAACUCAAAGGAAUUGACGGGGGCCCGCACAAGCGUGGAGCAUGUGGUUUAUUCGAGCAACGCGAGACCUUACCAGUCUUGACAUCUCUGACAUCCUAGAGAUAGGACGUCCCUUCGGGGCAGAGUGACAGGUGGUGCAUGGUUGUCGUCAGCCUCGUGUC
rnacentral:rRNA from 1 species